UCCAAACAGCACAAAAAAAAAAAAAAAUCCCAAUUUUAUAUAACUAAUCAUGGUUAAUCUACCCAACCAAACGAGCCCUGUGUUUAUUAGCAAGCCAUGCUUCUCAAGUCUGUUUCUUCACUUUUGACAUCUCCAUUCGGCAGAAUAUUUUGUGCUUGUGCAAAUUGUUUGGACUCCUGCAUACGUUACAAUCGGUUUAGAGCUUAGAGUAGCAAACCAAGUAUACAUUUCCAUUUCUUACAAAUUGGCACAUUUCCGACGAAAAAAAAUUAAAGGACGGAAAAUAUUGAGCUAUACGAACAAAAAAUUAAAUACCAUAUAUGAACAUAUAUCAAUGCUAUUUACCCUACAUGUACUUAAUAACAAUUUUGACUUGAUAAAACAAAAUCGUGGUGAUUUGGAACUAAAUAAUCAUGUUCAUAACCACUUGAAAAACACUAUUCAAUCAAUCACUUCAACAUACCAAAUUAAUCGAUUUUCCCCAAUCCACUAAAUUCAAAAAGAACAUAAUUGACUGAAAUGAAUAUUUGUUACUUGAGUUAGGUUUUCCUUCUGCGACGGUGGUGCCCGGAGGAAUCAACAGGAGAAUCGUCGAUUGAUUGUGUGACCGUGACACUGUUUCCCCCCGCCGCCGCCGCCUGCAGCAGCCGUCGAAAUCUGUAGUCUGUUAGGAUUCCAUGUCUCCCAAUCUGGAUAUCUGCCGGUCUUGUUCGUUGUUACCGGCAGUAAUUCGGUGGAUCAAAGUUUU
rnacentral:lncRNA from 1 species